GGAUGCCGAUCAUACCAGCACUAAAGCACCGGAUCCCAUCAGAACUCCGAAGUUAAGCGUGCUUGGGCGAGAGUAGUACUAGGAUAGGUGACCUCCUGGGAAGUCCUCGUGUUGCAUUCC
rnacentral:rRNA from 3 species